GACGAACGCUGGCGGCGUGCUUAACACAUGCAAGUCGAACGAAGUGGCGAACGGGUGAGUAAUACGUGGGUAACCUGCCCUCCUUUUUGGGAUAAGCCUUGGAAACGGGGUCUAAUACCGAAUAAAGGGGGAGGGGCUCGCGGCCUAUCAGCGUGUGGGUGGGGUGAUGGCCUACCCAGGGGGGGACGGGUGGCCGGCCUGGGAGGGUGACCGGGCACAUUGGGACGGAGAUGCGGCCCAGACUCCUACGGGGGGCAGCAGUGGGGGAUAUUGCAAAAAUGGCGAAAGCCCGAUGCAGCGACGCCGCGGGGGGGAUGAAGGCUUUCGGGUUGUAAACCUCUUUCGCUUGCGAACGGGUAGGUGGAGAAGAAGCGCCGGCUAACUACGUGCCAGCAGCCGCGGUAAUAC
rnacentral:rRNA from 1 species